rnacentral:ncRNA from 1 species
CGCAAGGAUGAAGAAGAUGGUUUCCAGUCGUCUUACACGCGCCUGAAAUGAAAAGGGAAUACGGUGAGGCCAAGCUAAACAGCGCCAAAUCCGUAACUGCCCCCGCAACUGUGAGCGGUGAGUGACCUCGAUAAAAACCACUGGGCCUGUAGGGUUUGGGAAGGUUCGGGGAAACGCUGAUCCGCAAGUCAGGAGACCUGCCAUCAAGCGGCGCUUUGGU